GACGAACGCUGGCGGCGUGCUUAACACAUGCAAGUCGAACGGAAAGGCCCUGCUUUUGUGGGGUGCUCGAGUGGCGAACGGGUGAGUAACACGUGAGUAACCUGCCCUUGACUUUGGGAUAACUUCAGGAAACUGGGGCUAAUACCGGAUAGGAGCUCGUGCUGCAUGGUGGGGGUUGGAAAGUUUCGGUGGUUGGGGAUGGACUCGCGGCUUAUCAGCUUGUUGGUGGGGUAGUGGCUUACCAAGGCUUUGACGGGUAGCCGGCCUGAGAGGGUGACCGGCCACAUUGGGACUGAGAUACGGCCCAGACGCCUACGGGAGGCAGCAGUGGGGAAUAUUGCACAAUGGGCGGAAGCCUGAUGCAGCGACGCCGCGUGCGGGAUGACGGCCUUCGGGUUGUAAACCGCUUUCGCCUGUGACGAAGCGUGAGUGACGGUAAUGGGUAAAGAAGCACCGGCUAACUACGUG
rnacentral:rRNA from 1 species